rnacentral:lncRNA from 1 species
CCAAAGCUCUGAUACCAUGUGAGAAAGCACGGGAGAAGAAUAUAACUCUUGAUAUUAAACAUGAUACAAUGAGCCCUAUAUAUAAUACACAUAACUUAAUCUACUCCUAAUACAGUUUGGACUAGAGUUCUACUAUAAUUAGACUUCUAACACCUCCAUUUCAAUCAAUAUGGCAGUCUUUCCAUUUCGAGACAUCUCAAAAUGUUUGACAGCAUUCCAUAUUUAUUCUAGUUUUACAACUUUUA